GUGCUUGAGUAACCAAAAAUAUUAGGAAAGAAAUCGUUAAGGGCGUAUGGCGGAUGCCUAGGCUUUCAGAGGCGACGAAGGACGUGGUAAGCUGCGAAAAGCUACGGGGAUUGGCACACACGAAUUGAUCCGUAGAUAUCCGAAUGGGGCAACCCAAUACAUUGAAGAUGUAUUACUGCGCAAGCAGAGCAAACCCGGAGAACUGAAACAUCUAAGUACCCGGAGGAAGAGAAAUCGAAGAGAUUCCGUAAGUAGUGGC
rnacentral:rRNA from 1 species